rnacentral:rRNA from 1 species
CAUGAGAGGAGCUGUUCCUAGUACGAGAGGACCGGAAUGGACGCACCACUGGUGCAACUGUUGUACUGCCAAGUGCACAGCAGGGAAGCGAAGUGCGGAUAGGAUAAACGCUGAAGGCAUCUAAGCGUGAAGCCCCCCUCAAGAUGAGAUAUCCCAAUUAGUAAGACCCCUUGAAGACUACAAGGUAGAUAGGGCCAGAGUGUAAGUGCAGUAAUGUAUUAAGCGGAUGGUUACUAAUAGGUCGAGGGCUUAUCCUGA